CUUGCUCCUUGAUUCAGCGGCGGACGGGUGAGUAAUGCCUAGGAAUCUGCCUGGUAGUGGGGGACAACGUUUCGAAAGGAACGCUAAUACCGCAUACGUCCUACGGGAGAAAGCAGGGGACCUUCGGGCCUUGCGCUAUCAGAUGAGCCUAGGUCGGAUUAGCUUGUUGGUGAGGUAAUGGCUCACCAAGGCGACGAUCCGUAACUGGUCUGAGAGGAUGAUCAGUCACACUGGAACUGAGACACGGUCCAGACUCCUACGGGAGGCAGCAGUGGGGAAUAUUGGACAAUGGGCGAAAGCCUGAUCCAGCCAUGCCGCGUGUGUGAAGAAGGUCUUCGGAUUGUAAAGCACUUUAAGUUGGGAGGAAGGGCAGUAAGCUAAUACCUUGCUGUUUUGACGUUACCGACAGAAUAAGCACCGGCUAACUCUGUGCCAGCAGCCGCGGUAAUACAGAGGGUGCAAGCGUUAAUCGGAAUUACUGGGCGUAAAGCGCGCGUAGGUGGUUUGUUAAGUUGGAUGUGAAAGCCC
rnacentral:rRNA from 1 species